GCGCCCGUAGCUCAGAUGGAUAGAGCGUUGGUUUGCGGAGCCAAAGGUCACAGGUUCGACUCCUGUCGGGCGCACCA
rnacentral:tRNA from 1 species